rnacentral:rRNA from 1 species
UAGAGUUUGAUCCUGGCUCAGGAUGACCUUUAGGUACAGGCUUAACACAUGCAAGUCGAGGGGCAGCAUGAAGUAUGCUUGCUGAGGUGGAUACCGACUUUCGGGCGGGUGACGAAUGUCCAUCCUACCCGCCCCUCACGCAGGCACAACCGAACGAGAGAUCAAUACAUGACGGAUACAGAUUAUCACAUGAUAUUCUGAUGAAAUAUUUAUCGGUCACGGAUGGGGAUGCGUAUAAUUAGGUAGUAGGCGGGGUAACGGCCCACCUAGCCUACGAUCCCUAGGGGUUCUGAGAGGAAGGUCCCCCACACUGGUACUGAGACACGGUCCAGACUCCUACGGGAGGCAGCAGUGAGGAAUAUUGGUCAAUGGUCGGAAGCCUGAACCAGCCAAGUAGCGUGAAGGAUGAAGGCUCUAUGGAUUGUAAACUUCUUUUAUACGAGAAUAAAGCCCGCCACGUGUAGCGUAUUGCAAGUAUCGCAUGAAUAAGCAUCGGCUAACUCCGUGCCAGCAGCCGCGGUAAUACGGAGGAUGCGGGCGUUAUCCGGAUUUAUUGGGUUUAAAGGGAGCGUAGGCGGUAUGUUAAGUCAGUUGUGAAAGGCUGCUGCUCAACAUCAGCACUGCAGUUGAUACUGGCGUCCUUGAGUGGGGUGGAAGUAUGUGGAAUUCGUGGUGUAGCGGUGAAAUGCUUAGAUAUCACGAAGAACUCCGAUUGCGAAGGCAGCACACUAUAUCCUUACUGACGUUGAAGCUCGAAAGUGUGGGUAUCAAACAGGAUUAGAUACCCUGGUAGUCCACACGGUAA